GCAACUUGCAAGGUCAGUCAACAGGUGCCAAUUUGGCAUUUAUUAUAACCAAUUUAGCAAAAUUUAUAUGGUUUAACUUAGGAAUUAGUUGAUCCUUCCAGGCUUGCUCUUGCAUUUGAUUACGACAUGUGUGAUUCUUUACGUCUACUAUUAAAUACAAAUAAUUUUUAAUUUACACUAACUAUGAUUCUAACUAUUCCUUGUAAGCUCAAAAAAUCGACAGAUUUUUAACUUUUGGUCCAUACCACUGGGCAUUUCACAUCAAUUCAUUUCUUUUACCUUUACCCUUCUUUGCAUUAGUCCUUUUGCACAUAUCAAAUAUAAUUUUUUUCAUAAUUAGGAUGGCGGAUUUUGAACAAAUAUGUAACAUUGUUUCAAAAUCUCUAUAAUUUUUGUACCCAUGAUUAAUGGUACUACUACACAUUUAGUGAGUAUAUUUUGAGUUGAUUAUUGAUAUUUUGAGUUACAAUUUAACAUUAUGAUCGGCAGCAAUAAUUUUUUCUUACAGCUGAAGAGUAUAAUUUGUAAUAUACAUUUAUAAACCUUUUCUAACCGGCCUGGCAAUUAUGAACGGUAUAAUUUUGGAAAUAGGGAAAAAAUAUGGUAAUAUUUACCACGAUGUAAAUAACUGUGUGGUGAAAAUUAUUUUGAUUAAUUGGUUUUGGGAGCAUUUCCUUUUGAGACAUCAGUCUUCAUAGCCUACCCAAGCAGAAACUGGGAACAUUUCCAAGGUGCUGUGAACGAGUGGGGGGAGGGGGGGAUUGAACUAGAUUGAAUUCUUUGCUCUCAAGGACUGGGACCUUGCCCCCGCAAUGUGAAAAUGGAAAAUUUAAGAACCAUCAAGGACGUUCUUCGUGAGAGGAAUCUCCAAUGUCCCUCAGUCUCAAAGGAUCCCUUGCGCCACAAUAUUCCCUCAGUUUCGGUCAAACUGUUGGAAAGAGGAAUCUCCAACGCCCCUCAGUCUCAGUGAGUCACGUGCGACACCAUAUUUCCUCAAUUUGAGAACGGACAAGUUGUUUGUGAACGGAAUCUCCAAUGUCUCACAGUCUCAGAGGAUCAUUUACACCACGGUGUUUCCUUAAGUGACCACGGUCCAGAUUUAUUUAUUGACGUCUACCACGCCAAAAUUUGAGAGAAAAAGGUGCCCUCCAGCGCUUCAUGAUUCGCUUUCCGCUCAAACAGUGGCCGCGGAAGGGUGUGGACAUAUGGACAAUGUCCCCACGAUUAUUCGAUGCCCAUAUCAUUUUAUAUAAAUAACUCCCUCCCCUAUCUAUAUUAUAGUAUUAAUGUCCCCACAUGUCUGCAUGGCUUCCGCGGCCACUGCGUCGUCCAAAACCACCAAUGGUGAUCCACCAUACUUCUUCACUACCGCACCGAACUUCCAGUGAUCAAAGACGGGUUUUUCGAAUCCUUGGAAGACGCCCUUGAUCACCUCAAAGCAAACGCUGCCUUCUUCAACCCCACGGACUGUUUCGUAAUGAAAACGUCACAAACCUGCAUAUCCUCAACGUGCAAAUGAUCCCAUAUACCCGACUAGAAACCUCUCACAAAUUUUCCAAACGUAUUUCCAAAAGUGAAGGAGUUGAAGAUUUCUGUGACUCACAAAGACUCGUACUUCCACCAGAAUGCCAUCCAUCAGGUUCAGAGUGGACGACCUAUUCCUUCCCCAUUGUGAAAAAGUAGAAGGACGAUUUAAAAGAUAUUUUUUUAGGGUAUUUUCGAUGUCAACCUUUGGAAUUGCCCAGAAACCCAAAAUUUUACCCUUUACCUGCUCGCACAUCUGCCAAACAACGUGCACAAAUCGACAAUGGAAGCAGUCAUUCAAAUUGAUUAAUUAGAAUCUCCUUUUGGAGAGCGUGGCCCCCUUUUUGCAAAACUUAACGCUGGAGAAGCAAAUCUUUGACGGGUUGUCGUAUUUAGACUGUGGGGAAGAAUCUCAAAAUUAAAUUAUAAUAAUUGACCACAAUUUGGCUAAAAUUUUGUAUUUAUAUCAAAAUUCACUCAAUCUCAAAAAUAAUCAGUUUUCCCUUCGAAUCAAUUCUCAUUAAAAGUCUGAAGCUAAUUAAUAAAAUCCGCGAUUUAAAUGUAUAAUUUUUGUCUGAAAAUUCCUUCGCUUAAAAAAAAAUUGGAAAUUAAUUGCACUCGUGCAUCAUCCAAUUACCUCAUCAAUUUUGCU